GAGGUGAUCAGCAGAUGGUGACCAGCCAGCCUGAGGCACCUGGAAACCAGGUCUUCCUCCUGGCCUCUCCCCUUCAAGCUCCCCUUUGUGGGCUCCAAAGCUCCUGCCUGGCCUUUGUUUCCUAUCUGAGGGCAGUGCAUGGGGAGGGCCUUCGUGCCCCCCAAAACCCUCUUUCCAACGGGGUGAUGGACCAAGGGACGCUCUAGGGAGACGUCUGGGUUAAACAUGGAUAUAAAGAUGCUUCAUGAAGGCGUGACAGUGCCAUUCACUGUGUGUCUCCUGCCCUGUGCAUGGGGCCUGACAAGUGCUCGCCUUUUUGCGGGACAAGCCUUCACCGGGACCCUCUUUGGAACUCUGAGCCUUGUAGGCCACGUUGGAGGUGGGCCUAUCCUGGUGACCCGCUGCAAAGCUGACCCAGGGGACAUGACCUCCAGGAAUUUCAAGUCCACGUCAUGGCCGAAGCCCAAGUUGUAGAGUGGGAACUUGCCCCUGAUGGCAUCUCGGACAUUCUUGAGGAUUUGGGCACGAUCCGUCACCCCUGCAGCCACACAGCCAGGUCACCUUGAAGUCCCCAUUCAGCAAGGUCGUAGAGCACGUGGGGCAGGAUUGCUGCUGGCCCACCGUGGGACGGAAAAGCACAUGACCCUGGAACCAUCGAAGGGUGGCCUGCGGCCCUUGUCUGCAGCCAUGCUGAGAAGUCUCUGGGGGCUCAGCCAUCCCACGCACCUCUUUCCCUGAGAAGGACUUCUUGAUGAGCUGGGCGGCCAGUUCCUUGCGGAGGAAGGAGGCCUGGGC